CAGGCUGUGGUUAGGAGUUUGGAUUUAAUCUCCAUUGUGGUGAAAAGUCAUUGAAAGGUAUAAGCAGGGAUAUGAUAUGGUUGUCAUGCCUAAGAAGGGACAAGAAUGGGAAGCAGUUAGGAGGUUGAUACAGUUUUCCAGCACCCAUUGCUAUGCAGUUACGCAUUUUUAUCUGGAUUAUUCUGUGGAUGCCUGCCUUCUCUACCAGACUACACCAUGCAUGGGCUCUGAUGAGCAACUCAGAUCCACCUUCAAUAUUAAAGUCCGGGAGCACACCCUCAGCCUCCAGCCCACCGCCUGGCCCCAGGUGAAGAAAGUCGCCCCGCCCAAGGCCAUGUGCCCCCCUCUACUCUGAACUCCAAUGACCUGGACUUCUCACCUCGCCUGGGGAGAGCUCGAACAGAAAAACCACCUACCAGAUCAAGUUAGGAGCCUGGGUUCAAGACCUAGCUCUGCCACGUUAGUAGCUGUGUAAUGUAUCAGCCUCAGUUCCUUAUCUGUAAAGUGGAUAUUUCCUAACCAACUUACAGAGCUCGGCUACCGGGAAGUUCAAAUGAGACAAGAAUGUGAACAAGCUUUGAAAAUUUCCACAGACUCUAAGAAGAAAUUUCCAUUGUUGUCAUUGUCAGUGUCCUUGUCACUCUUUAGUGAAACAGACCUCAAAAGUUAAAGCUGGUACCAAAUAAAGAAUAGAAUGCGCUUCAAAGCCAAAUAUAAAAGCUUUUUAACAUUCCUCAUUUUGCAUGAUGUUUGUCAAUGCUCCUGGUUAGCUGGCAUGAUUAAGAACCCACUGUCCUUGGGUUGGACUGAGAAUGUUAAACUUCUAUGUAAACCUGCUGUACUUGAGUUGAUUCAUUGGCUAAUGGCAGACAUGGGGAGCCAUCUUGUUCUUUGGACCAGCCUUUUGAAUUAUCAGGGUCACUGGACAGGGAUCCUGAAGAGUGGAUGGAGAAGGUCUGCAUCUGUGGUGGGACUUGCUCAUCCUAACUGGGGUACAGUUAUGUGUCUACCAAUCCUCACUGUAGUUGGGUUAAGGUAUUAUCCUCCAAGAGGUGAAAACACUACAUAGUACUCACAUGAGAAAAUAGGUAGAAUCAUGGACUGUUAAUGUAUUAGGGAUCUAACAGGUUAUUGCGUCCAUCCCUCACAUAUUACAGGUGAGGAACCAGGCCCAGAGAGACAGAGAGAUUUGUUCAAACUCUCUUGAUUAAUUAAUGGCAGAAGAGGACAUCGUUUCCUUUUGCCUGUGUCAGUUACUUUGGGAAACCAACCCAUCCUCACUCCAGAGUCCCAGGGUUUUGGGUGGUGCUGACCUCGCUCCCAAAUCCAGGAUGAUGCUUGGCCAAUCAGAGCAUUAGAACAUGCAUUUCUGGGAGGUCAGUUAAAGCCAAGGAAACUUGAUUUCAGGAUAUUAGAAAAG